GCAGCAGCAGCAGCAGCAGCAAUCAAAAAGCACCCUUGCCAUGCCCACAGCAAGAUGUGUCUCGCCCACCACAAGCCUUGCCUUGCCCACUGAGAGCCUCACCUUGUCCACCACGAGCCUUGUCAUGCCCAUCACAAACCAUGCAGUGCCAACUACCAGCUCUAACUCACCCACCUCAAGAAGUGCCAUGCCCUCGGCAGAAUAUCCCAAGCCCACCUCAAGACUCGUUAUGGCAUCCUCAACACUCACCAAGCCCACCUCAAGACUCUCUGGGCCUACCUCAAGAUGUGCCAGGCCCGCCUCAAAGCAUAUUACAUCCACAAGAUGUGGCAUACCUGCAAGACAUGCCACAGUCACCAGGAGAUGUGCCACGGUCACCAGGAACCAUGCCACCAUCACCAGAUGUGCCACAGUCACCAGGAGACAUGCUAGGGCCACCAGGAGAUGUGCCACAGUCACCAAGUUAUGUUUCACCGUCACCAGAUGCACCACAGUCACCAGGGGGCAUGCCACACUUACCGGGAGAUGUGUUAUGUUCACCUGGAGACAUGCCACACUCAUCAGGGGACGUGACACACUCACCUAGAGACAUCCCUCACUUACCAGGAGACAGGCCUGACUUUACCCAGAAUGAUGUACAGAACCGUGACAUGCCUAUGGAUAUCUCAGCUCUGUCCUCUCCAAGCUGCUCUCCCAGCCCACAGUCUGAAACUCCCUUAGAGAAAGUUCCUUGGCUCUCUGUCAUGGAAACCCUAGCCAGAAAAGAAAUAUCACUGUCAGAGCCUGCCAAACCUGGGUCUGCCCACGUACAAUCACGAACACCACAAGGUGGGUUGUACGACAGACCAUGCCUGCAUAGACUGAAGUACUUCUUACGACCUCCGGUUCAUCACCUCUUCUUUCAGACGCUAAUACCGGAUAAAGACACAAGAGAGAACAAGGGUCAAAAAUUAGAACCCAUCCCUCAUCGAAGACUAAGAAUGGUAACAAAUACCAUUGAAGAGAAUUUUCCUCUGGGGACUGUGCAGUUUUUGAUGGACUUUGUGUCACCCCAGCAUUACCCACCAAGAGAAAUCGUGGCUCACAUCAUCCAGAAAAUCUUGCUCAGUGGCUCUGAGACUGUGGAUGUCCUAAAGGAGGCCUACAUGCUUCUCAUGAAAAUUCAACGGU
rnacentral:lncRNA from 1 species